UACGUAGGGGGGCUAGCGUUGUCCGGAUUUAUUGGGCGUAAAGAGCGUGUAGGCGGCCAGAUAGGUCUGCUGUGAAAACUCGAGGCUCAACCUCGAGCUGUCGGCGGAAACCAUCCGGCUAGAGUCCGGAAGAGGAGAGUGGAAUUCCCGGUGUAGCGGUGAAAUGCGCAGAUAUCAGGAAGAACACCAGUGGCGAAGGCGGCUCACUGGUCCGGUUCUGACGCUGAGGCGCGAAAGCGUGGGGAGCAAACAGG
rnacentral:rRNA from 1 species